rnacentral:rRNA from 1 species
AUACGGAGGAUGCGAGCGUUAUCCGGAUUUAUUGGGUUUAAAGGGUGCGUAGGCGGACGAUUAAGUCAGCUGUGAAAUGCCUGCGCUUAACGCGGGAAGUGCAGUUGAUACUGGUUGUCUGGAGUGCCGUUGCCGUGGGGGGAAUGUGUAGUGUAGCGGUGAAAUGCAUAGAUAUUACACAGAACGCCGAUUGUGAAGACACCUCACGAAGCGGUAACUGACGCUGAGGCACGAAAGCGUGAGGAUCAAACAGGAUUAGAUACCCUGGUAGUCCACGCAGUAAACGAUGAAUACUAGCUGUAUGCGAUAUACUGUAUGUGGCAAAGCGAAAGCAUUAAGUAUUCCACCUGGGGAGUACGUUCGCAAGAAUGAAACUUAAAGGAAUUGACGGGG